rnacentral:rRNA from 1 species
UGGGUAACCUGCCUCAAAGAGGGGAAUAGCCUCCCGAAAGGGAGAUUAAUACCGCAUAAUAUGUUUAGGUCGCAUGACUUUAACAUCAAAGGAUUUUCUUUUAGAAAUUCCACUUUGAGAUGGACCCGCGGCGCAUUAGCUAGUUGGUGAGGUAACGGCUCACCAAGGCAACAUGCGUAGCCGACCUGAGAGGGUNAUCGGCCACAUUGGAACUGAGACACGGUCCAGCUCCGUAGGNG